rnacentral:lncRNA from 1 species
UGUUGUUUUGCUCAAGAAUGCUCUGGGCACUUAGCUGUGGAAGGUGAGAUUAUGUUUCACAAGUUGCCGAGAAACUCUAAUAGGUUUCAUCCAUGCGAGAAGAAUAUAAUCUGAGUUUCAAUUCAAAAGUGCUUAAAAAAAUCUUUUUAGUAGUCUUAACCAUAUACAAAUCCCAAUUACCUUGUUACUUUCAUAUUUAAGGAAUUUAGAUUUUUCUUGUAAAUCCCAAUCCUAAUUAGUGAGUUUUAACAAGCUGUAACUUCCAAUCCGACUAUCCACUUAAUGUAGAAUUUUGUAUGCAAUUGUCAAUGCAAGUCUUCUAAAUUCUCAAGAAUUUAUAGCCCAAUCCAACUUACAAAUUUUGAGAAAAUCUCCAAAAAUUGCACCAAUGUCACUCAGCCGCCAACUUGAAAAGUAAAGCAGAAAUCCCAGCAAUGAUUUCUCCUUUUCCAACUUUUAACUAUGUCUCAAAAUUGGUGUGUAACUUGACCUUUAAGUCUUCCAAUACUAUGCCAAUUUUUACCUUAAUCCAACAAGUAGAUCUUCAGAUAUCAAAGAAAUCCUACCCAACCUCAAACUGACACCUUCUGAAAUCCUCUUGUGCUAAAAACUAGAUAUCUCUAAACCACGCUGUUAGAUUAUCACAAAAUUUUGUAUACACUUAGCACACCCAAUAAUCCAAACAAUAUCAAAUUUUUAACCAUAGAUGUCAUGCCAAUUGCACGAACUAGCCAAAAUUGCUAGCCCUAAUUAUAUUAUAUAAAACCCAAAUCAGUGAUACAAACCCUGACUUUGAACAACAAUGGCUAACUCCUCCAAAACCCUUUCAAAACAAUUCUUACGUCUUUGGAAAGAACUUCAAGCUAGCUCUCAAACUCUAACCUCCGAUCUUCAAAUGAAACCCUAUUUUGCCCUAGGCCGUCAUUUUAGUAGCCAAAGAUCUGAUUUCGACCCUGUCUCACAAACGGUCGACCCCCGAGUAUCAAUCUAUCCUAUCCUAAGGAUUUUUUAGCCCAAUCCUACUU